GACACGCCGCCCACCGCAGCCCCAGCCUCUCGCGUGGGGCCUCUGCCCGCACACACGCAGCCAGGCACUGUAAGCAUCUUCACUUUUUGUUUUUUGCUGAUGUUGAUUUAGUUGCUAAUUGGUGACAGAAAUUGUCAAAUAGGUGGCAGAUAGCGACUGCGGAAACUUCCGUUGAAGGAGGCUUCUAAUGUGAGGAAAAACACGGAAUGACAAGUGUGGGAAAGAGCAAGCACUAAAUUACUGUCAGAAAAAUAAACGGAGUAGCACAGUGCUGCUCGGUGAUUUACGGGGGCAAUUAGUCACCACCCCACGGCGCUGCUGAGGACAGCACGGCAGCAGACAAGUCAGGCCCAUGAGGAAGAAGAGGCUUUGCACUGCUCUCCAGACAACUUUUCAAACAACAAGAGAGGAUAUUUGAGCACAUUAGGUUUUGUGUCUUCAUUCUGGCCGUGUGAAGAUGUGCCUGCUUCGCCUUCCAUCAUGACUGAAGUUUCCUGAGGCCUCCCCAGCUAUGCUCCCUAUACAGCCUGCAGAACGGUCGGCUGCCUCCAAUCCUGAGGUCAUCACUCAUCAAGAGGGGAUAAUCCCAGGGACAGCAGGAUCUGCUUCGUUACUUGGAUUUAGGAGCCAGAAACCCAUCAGGCAACUAAACAGUAACAAUGACCCGCCAUUAAACACACUGAGAGAAGAGCAUGAUGAAGAGUUUGUACAAGAAGAAGCCAGGAGCACUUGCUGACAAUGCUUACAGAGACGCAGGCUUCUAUGAGCUCUGCCUGUUGAACUGCAGUAAAAAUAGAUCUCCUUCCCCAGAGAGGCUUGGAUGUGGGCACAAUAUCAGUUCAGACGAUGGUCAAUGCAUGUACUUAAUAGAGUGAAAAGACUUUGGACUGUGAAGUCAGAUUACCUGGGUCUGAAUUGUUAUUCUUCUACUUCUUUGUAGUAUGCUUUCACCACAUUAAAAAUUGUCUGAGCCUCAAUUUUUUUAUCUGCAAAAUGGAGCUAAUACCUACACAGGGGCUUUUAAGAGAAUCAAAUGCAACAAUGUUUGAAAAGCAACAUACUCCCCUUUAUGGAAAAAGAGCCUGUAAA
rnacentral:lncRNA from 1 species